GUAUAGCUUUGUAUAGGCACAUAAGCCCAUUCAAUACAUUCUUAAACAUACUAUAGGUGUGUAUGAAGCCACAUAGACCUGGGAAAACGACUAUAGACACCGCUCUUUUGUUAAGAGAGCCAUGCUUGUGCACAGCACUCCUCAUAUCCGGUGUGUUAACAAACCGAUAGAGUAGUGGCCCAAUUAUCAGUCAUUCUCUACAAGUCUACAAAGGGUGCACAGGUGGAUGGAUAAAGAUGGCCGGUGUGCACAUGCUCUAGAGAGCCAGCGACAACCCACCAGGUUUAUUCAAUAAUGAUCCUUCCGCAGGUUCACCUACGGAAA
rnacentral:misc_RNA from 1 species